AAAUCUUUAACAUUAUACAGUAAAAGCUUGUAGUUAAUCUCAUUCAUUCAAAAUAACUUCAAAUUCUACGCCAUUAUUGUCAAACACACUUCAACGACUGACUAUAAACAACCACAAUCAGUUGCUGUUAUCGUUUUACGAGUACGGGUUGUCGCUGAUGUCCACACAUUGAAUUCAGUGUCAUAUUAAUUGCGAUACAGCACAAAAAAAAACCACUUUAUUGGAGGAGGAUAAAAAACAAGUGCUGGUAAAAACCAAAAUGACCGAUUUCGGAGUUCAAAGAUUUGGAUGGAUUUUUAUACAGCUUGCUGAUACCGCAACGAUUCAUUUGCUCAUUACUUGUAGCAUUACACCAAUUAUUAUAUAAACAGUCUCUAUAUUUAUAAGCAAAUAUUUAUGCCAAAUACGAUAAAGCUGACAUUAACAUUAAAAUAAUUAUGGAAUAAGCUAUGCAUGGUAUUGCAAAACAAUA